rnacentral:rRNA from 1 species
UACGGGGGGGGCAAGCGUUGUUCGGAAUUACUGGGCGUAAGGGGUUCGUAGGUGGCUGGCUAAGUCAGACGUGAAAUCCCUCAGCUCAACUGGGGAACUGCGUCUGAGACUGGCCAGCUUGAGUGCAGGAGAGGAACGCGGAAUUCCAGGUGUAGCGGUGAAAUGCGUAGAUAUCUGGAGGAACACCGGUGGCGAAGGCGGCGUUCUGGACUGCAACUGACACUGAGGAACGAAAGCCAGGGGAGCAAACGGG